AACUUUCUACUUCACAAUCAUUGGUUAUAUUUUUUAAUGUGAAGGAUGAGGGUAUCUUAUCUAAAAAAGUUGGAUAACAUCUUCAUAGAUAGUUCUAAAAUCUUUGCCACCAAUUCUAUGAAUUUCGUUUUCAUCCAUGCCACCAAUAAUUCCUUCAUAAAGUAUGUUACAUUUAUAACUUAUAAGUAUGGGAAACACUUCUUAUAAGGUCAUACAUCUUGCCUCAAAUAUAAUAACUUCAUCACUUGGCAUUGAUUGAUUCUU
rnacentral:lncRNA from 1 species